rnacentral:rRNA from 1 species
AAUGAAGGAAACUUUGAUCCAGGCAUGCCGUGUGAGUGAUGAAGGCAUUUUUGUUGUAAAGCUCUUUCAGUGGGGAAUAAAAAAAUAAGGUACCCACGUAGAUUCUUCGGAAUUUACAUAAGAAGCACCGGCUAACUCCGUGCCAGCAGCCGCGGUAAGACGGGGGGUGCGAGUGUUGUUCGGAAUUACUGGGCGUAAAGUGCGUGUAGGCGGAAUAGCAAGUCUAUGAUUAAAGACCGGGGCUCAACCUCGGAAGUGUCAUGGAAACUGCUCUUCUAGAGAUCGGGAGAGGUAAGCAGAAUUCCUGAGAUUAGGGUAGAAUCUGUAGAUAGCAGGAGGAAUACCAAAGGCGAAGGCAGCUUACUGGAACGUUUCUGACGCUGAGA